UCAUACUUAGGUCCACAUAUGAUCAUAUUUAGCCAUUCUAAUGGCUGAUCAUGUGACCAACCGGGGGCGCAACGCCCUCGACCUAUUCUCAAACUUUAAAUAGGUAGGACGGUGCGGCUGCUUCGUUGAGCCGCGCCACGGAAUCGAGAGCUGCAAGUGGGCCAUUUUUGGUAAGCAGAACUGGCGAUGCGGGAUGAACCGGAAGCCGGGUUACGGUGCCCAACUGCGCGCUAACCUAGAACCCACAAAGGGUGUUGGUCGAUUAAGACAGCAGGACGGUGGUCAUGGAAGUCGAAAUCCGCUAAGGAGUGUGUAACAACUCACCUGCCGAAUCAACUAGCCCCGAAAAUGGAUGGCGCUUAAGCGCGCGACCUAUACCCGGCCGUCGGGGCAAGAGCCAGGCCCCGAUGAGUAGGAGGGCGCGGCGGUCGCCGUAAAACCCGGGGCGUGCGCCCGGGCGGAGCGGCCGUCGGUG
rnacentral:ncRNA from 1 species